ensembl:lncRNA
GGGUAGUCCCUCAGGCAAGUUUCUUAUACAUUCACUGGGCCCCUAACAUGAAAUAUAAUCUUUUUAGCACCUCUGUUAAACACAAAAUGUAUAACCAAAUUGUAUAUUAAUUGAUUCAAGGAAUGUAAGAAUCUGUCUCUUCCACUAGUCUAAGAGCAAGUUAAGGGUGUGGUUUGAUGUUUCAUUUGUCUCCACCUUUCCAAGAUUUCUUACUAAAUAUUUCCACGUAGUAGGUACUCAAUAAAUGUUGAUGACCUAUUGCUGAAUGAGGAAGUCUUUUCCACCUGGAUUUCUCUUGUUCUGUGGCAUUAGGACCAUAACAACAACCACAUCUCCAUAGCAACAAUGGAGGUGAAGAAGAUGAAUAAUACAAUAACUUGCAACUUCUAGGUCUCUGAAGAAGACUGUGACUGUUUGGAGUCACAGUAAUGAGGACAGCAGAUGAAAGAAGAAUGAUGGAAGGCAGAAUUAGCAGGAAGCCUUAGGCCUCUCUAGGUUGGAAACUGCCAACUUACUACAUUUUCUAAAAAAUAGGCAUCAGGAAAAAAACGAACUGCUUGAGUGAUAGGAUUCUUGCCUGGCACAAUACCACCCAGAAUAAAUUUACUUUACCCAUCCUCCCUUGCAGCUGUGAAAGGAUGUCACAAAACCACAAAGCUGGACCAGUGGGAUGCAGGUAGAAGUGUCACAUGGCAGCUGUUGGGAAACUUCGUUAAAAAUCUGGUCAGAGUGAACCCCAUGCUGCCUCCUGGACCAUG